ACUCUGUUGCACCGCCCAGUCGCCCGGCUUUCCACUGAGGGACGCCCCCUGCUCUGGACUGCUUAGCCUACUCCAGCUGGCCCCACCUCACCUCAUCGGCCCCGCCUCCUCCGCUCGCCCACUCCGGGCGCCCACUCCUGAGGAGCUAUCCCAGAGUCCGCGCGGCCUCGCCUUCCCGGCCCGCUCACCACCCCGCCUCGUCCCACCUCGCCUCGCCCUCCCCGGGCUCUAGCCACUUGGUGCGGCAGGUGUCCUGCAGGCCGGCUCGAGAUUCCCGAGCUCGCCCUCGUGGUGUUCCAGGAACACGGUACUUUGCGCUAGCCUGGCCUGUCCUGAGAGACUGCGGGAGGCGAAGAGAACGCGCUGUUGCUGUGGGAAGCGCCGGGGACGGGACAGCUACACCGCCAAACACUUCGCUAGGGAAAGGGCUGGCUGGUUUCGUGCGUAAACAACCGAAAAGGGGAAGUGUCUGGGGGAAAGUGUGUGUGUGUGUGUGUGAAUGCGGGUGAGUGAGGGGGAGAGGGACACGUUACUAAAGUCAGGCAAAUAUUUUGAAAAAAAUAUAUUUUGAAAAAAAUAGUUUGGUCUAACAAAAAUAAAAUGGAAGAGAGAUUUGUUUAAGUAGUUUGAAGCUGAAAGAUUGACGGGAUCUUGCCAUGACCUGAACAGCAUGCACCUGUUUUGUGGCUGGCUGAAGGAUGGUAAAUAGGAUCAAGAUCUCACUUUAAGCGUUGAAAAUGCUGAAAGCCCUUUCUCAAACCUGCCAUAGCGUAGGGGUAGACAGUCUUUCUUAAAGCAACUACUAGGGGUCAAAUGCUGAGUGAAAUUUUUUUCAUCUGUGAACUUUAAAUAAUAGCCACAUACAUUCUGCUAGGCAACUGAGUCUCAAUUUACUAUAGGCCACGUGGCAAAUAAUCAGAUUCAAUUAAAGUCAUCAAACAAUAAUUGUGUGUCGGGCAUCACGUUUAGGUAUUCAAGAUACAAACAUGAAUGAGUUUGGUGAAAAAGUCAUAUCAUCAUGGGCAUGAAUUCUAGUUCCCUCACUUAUUAGCUAUGCUACCUUGGGUCAAUUAACCUCUCUGAGACUCAGCUUUCUCAUCUACAGGAUAAGAAUAAUAAUCCCUUCCUCAUAAGGUUGUUGUGUGAAUUUAAUAAUAUAUUACUUGUAAAACACUUAUUGGGGUGGGAAAUUACCUUGAUGCAAUGGUAGCUUCCACGUACGAGUCAGGCCAUCCCAGAGGGUCAUGGAACUCAGAUGGCUGAGUUCAAAAGGCUCAGAUCAAAUUGAGAUGCCUGAGUCACACAGUUUAUUAAAUCAAUUUAUUUUCAUUUUAAAUAAGUUUAUUCAAACAAGACAUUUGACUUGAAAGGAAAACUAGGAUUUUUUUUUAAGAGUAAUGUGUCAUUACUGAAAGAUUGCCUUACAUGUAAUAGCCACGUACAAAGAGUUAUAAAAUUGUCUUGGCUAGGCCGGCACGGUGGCUCACGCCUGUAAUCCCAGCACUUUGGGAGGCCAAGGCGGGUGGAUCACCUGAGGCCAGGAGUUCGAGACCAGCCUAACCAACAUGGCAAAACCCGUCUCUACUAAAAAUACAAAAAUUAGCCGGGCGUGUUGGCGCAUGCCUAUAAUUCUAGCUACUUGAGAGGCUGAGGCAGGAGAAUAGCUUGAAUCCUGGAGGCAGAGGUUACAGUGAGCUGAGAUUGUGCCAUUGCACUCCUGCCUUGAUGACAAGAGCAAAACUCAGUCUCAAAAAAAAAAAAAGAAUUGUCCUUGGCUUUACAAUCAUAAACAAAAUACAUUACAAUUCUUCAACUGAAGAAGAUAUGCAAAAACUGUUAUGGUGUUUUGUUUUGUGUGUGGGGUUUUUUUGGUUAAAACAGAGCAAAAUAACGAACUGGAAUAUAAAGAUAAGACCUGAAUGAGCAUGGCAUUAAUGGAGAAGGGAGUCUUCACAAAACCAUAUUUCUCCGCCCAUCCUAUCUUCAUUUGAUGCGGAUCAAAAGAUAACAUUGGGGCCAGGCGCAGUGGCUCACGCCUGUAAUCCCAGCACUUUGGGAGGCCAAGGCGGGUGGGUCACCUGAGGUCGGGAGUUCGAGACCAGCCUGACCAACAUGGAGAAACCCCAUCUCUACUAAAAAAAUACAAAAUUAGCCGGGCACGGUGGCGCAUGCCUGUAAUCCCAGCUACUCGGAAGGCUGAGGCAGGAGAAUCACUUGAACCCGGGAGACGGAGGUUGUGGUGAGCCAAGAUCGCGCCACUGCACUCCAGCCUGGGCAACAAGAGCAACACCCCGUCUCAAAAAAAAAAAAAAAAAAUUGACCAUUUGGUUAAAAAAUGCAAUACGCUUUUAUGCAUUAUAACUAUGGCAUAUACAAUAUGCCAUAAAGACUAUAUGAAGAUGUAGAAUUCUGUUACUCCUAGAGAUCUUGCAGUUACACAUUUAAUUGUUUACAUAGUUACAUUGUAACUAAUAUAUACAUAUAAUAAAGUAAUGGGGAAGAGGAAAAUGAUAGAGAAAACUAUACUGUAGUAGUCAGGGUGUGAUGGAACCAAAUCGCAGUUUUCUAAUUGAAAAUGCAUUCUUGGUCCGUAAGAACAGAGUUCUGUAAUAAAGUAGCAGGCUCCAUUUUUAGUCAAAACCUCCUGUCCUUGGAACACAUUAAUUGUAUCUUUAGCCUCCAUCUUCAACUUUACAGGUGUGUCUAUUUCAUUGAUUGGUUGCACAUGAAGUCUAGAAUCUGAUCAACCUCAUUGCCUAACCCUGUUCACAAUAGGCUUUCAUUAAUUUACUAAGUGGUAUACACCUUUUUUUUUUUUUUUUUAAGACGGAGUCUCAUUCUGUCACCCAGGCUGGAGUGCAGUGGCGGGAUCUCGGCUCACUGCAGCCUCUGUCUCCCAGGUUCAAGUGAUUCUCCUGCCUCAGCUUCCCGAGUAACUGGGAUUACAAGCACCUGCCACCACACCUGGCUAAUUCUUGUAUUUUUUUUUAGUGGAGACGGGGUUUCACCAUGUUGGCCAGGCUGGUCUCGAGCUCCUGACCUCAGGUGAUCCGCCCACCUUGGCCUCCUAAAGUGCUGGGAUUACAAGUGUGAGCCACUGCGCCCGGCUGGAAUAUGCCUUUUAAUCUUAAACUGCACCACAGACCCAUUCUGCCCUGCCACCUUCAAAUUAAUAGGAUUGUUGUUCUCAAUCUUGCCUCCUUCUUUGGGCUUUCUGUCAGCCAGAGUCUUCUUAGCUGCCACUUCACAAAACAGGUGCCAGUUCUGUGCCAAACAAGCACACAAGCUGUACCCUAUUAAAUCAUUUUAAAACAUAACAGCAAGGGGAAAGAGAUUGAGUGGACUAACAUAUUUUGGUUAGGAUGUGGGGAGGGGAGAGAGUGGAAGGAUUAUACCAUCUGAAUCUUAAUGUUACUGUUCGUGUACUGUUUGAUGCAUCAGACUUCCUUGCUGGUGGUGUAGUUAUGAGGACCAUAGUGAGGAUGAGCAAGACUGCUCAGCAGGUAGAAGGUGGAGCCAGCACACACUUUUCUUUUGGAGAACUGCUGGAACCUGACUCCAGCUAUAACUGCAUUUAUAACCAGUUAUAAUUAACCUACUGAGCAGCUAUGGAUGGUAUCUGUGUUUCUUGGACAGAGCACGUGUGGGGCCAGAGUGGAUCUCACCAGUGAGUGGCUGGUUUAGGGAUAACAUAGUUGUCAGUCUGGCAGUAACAUGAUCAUUACCUUAUGAAUAUUUAAGAUUUAUUUGGGGCUGGGCACCGUGUCCCACGCCUGUAAUCCCAGCACUUUGGGAGGCCGAGGUGGGCAGAUCACCUGAGGUCGGGAGUGCGAGACCAGCCUGACCAACGUGGAGAAACCCUGUCUCUACUAAAAAUAAAAAAUUAGCCAGGCGUGGUGGUGCAAGCGUGUAAUCCCAGCUACUCGGGAGGCUGAGGCAGAACAAUCGCUUGAACCUGGGAGGCGGAAGUUGUGGUGAGCUGAGAUUGUGCCACUGCCCUCCAGCCUGGGCAACAAGAGCGAAACUCCGUCUCAAAAAAAAAAAUUUACUUGGUCCUUCUAGCCCUUUUAAUCUAAAAGUGGAACUCUCAUGUGUUCCAUUAUUUUUGUGUAUGUUCAAUACAUAUAUGUUCCAUUCAUCCUAUUUUUAACAUGCCUCACAGUGUAAUUAUUUAUUAUUUAUACUUAAUACAUCUUACAAAUUUCAUUAUGUCUAACAAGCCAUUUGCUCCCAUACUUAGUUUCUCUCAAUUUCUGUGGCAGAAUUGAAUAUUCUUAAAUGACACAGCAAAAACAUCACAGUACUCAGAAUAGUGUAGGCAGUGUGAGUUUCCCCCAGGAUGUUCAAAGUUAUUGGAAGAGCAAAUGGAAAAAAAUAACACGCGUAACUGAAAGAUCUCAAGGAGUAAGAGGAUUCUGCAUCUUCAUAUGGACUUUAUGGCAUAUUGUAUUUUCCAAAAAUGGCCACAACAAUAUUUCUGGUACCAUAUGCUGUUCCAGAACUUGGAUACACCUCCCCUUAAAAGGUGGUGUCUAAUGCACUUCCCUUUGCAUAUAGGCCAUCAAUAUUAACUUUUGUUUGUUUGUUUGUUUGUUUGUUUGUUUGAGACAGAGUCUCGCUCGGGCACCAGGCUGGAGUGCAGUGGCACGGUCUCGGCUUACUACAACCUCCGCCUUCCGGAUUCAAGUGAUUCUGCUGCCUCAGCCUCCCGAAUAGCUGGGAUUACAGGCGAGUACCACCACAUCCAGCUAAUUUUUUUAAUUUUUAGUAGAGACGGGGUUUCACCGUGUUAGCAAGGAUCAUCUUGAUCUCUUGACCUCGUGAUUCACCUGCCUCGGCCUCCCAAAGUGCUGACAUUACAGGCGUGAGCCACGGCACCCGGCUAUUAAUACUAACUUCUAACAAAUAGGAUACAGUCAAGUGCCAUGUAACAUUUUGGUCAAUGAUAGACCCCAUAUAUGGUGGUGGUCCUAUAAGAUUAUAAUGGAGCUGAAAAGUUCCUAUCAUAGUGACGUUAUAGUCAUAGCACAACACAUUACUCAUGUGUUUGUGUUGAUGCUACUGUAAACAAAUCUGCCAGUGUGUAAAGUAUAGCUUAUAUAAUUAUGUACACUACAUAAUACUUGAUAGUGAUAAUCUAUAUUACUGAUUUAUGUAUUUACUAUAGUUAUCAUUAUUUUAGUGUAUACUCCUUCUAAUUAUAUAUAUAAAAAAAUCAGUAACUGUAAAAUAGCUUCAGGCAGGUCCUUCAGGAGGUAUUCCAGAAGAAGGUAUGGCUAUCAUAGGAAAUGACAGCUUCAUGUAUUUAUUGCCCCUGGAGACCUUCCAGUGGGACAAGAUGUGGAGGUGGAAAACAGUAAUAUUGAUGAUCCUGACCCUGUGUAGGCACAGACUAAUGCAUGUGUGUGUCUUAGUUUUUAACAAAAAAAGUUCAAAAAGUAAAUUAUUUUAAAAAAUAGGAAAGAGUUUAUAGAAUAAGAAUAUAAAGAAAGAAAAUUUUGUGCAGCUAUGCACUGUUUUAAGCUAAGUGUUAUUACAAAAGAGUCAAAAAGCUUUAAAAAUUUAAAACGUUUUUGAAAUACAGUUACAGUAAGGUAAGGCUAAUUUAUUGAAGAAAGAAAAAUAUUUUUCAUAAGUUUCUUGUAGCCUAAGUAUGCAGUAUUUAUGGCAUCUACAGUAGUGUGUAGUAAUACUCUAAACCUUCACAUUCACUCACUGACUGACUCACUUAAAGCAACUUCCAGUCCUGCAAUCUCCAUUCAUGGUAACUGCCCUAUACAAGUGUGCCUUUUUAAAAAAACCUUUUAUAUCAUAUUUUUACUGUACCUUUUCUAUGUUUAGAUACACAAAUACAAUUGUGUUUCAGUUGCCUACAAUAUUCAGUACAGUAACAUGCUGUACAAGUUUGUAGCUUAGGAGCAAUACCACAUACAGCCUAGGUGUAUAGUAGGCAUUACCAUCUAGGUUUGUGUAAAUACACUCUAUGAUGUUUGCACAACAAUGAAAUAAUCUAAUGACACAUUUCUCAGAACAUAUUCCUGUUGUUAAGUGAUGCAUGACUUUUAAGCCUCAUUCAUUAAGGACACUACAGAUAGCUUUGGUGUUGUCUCUCUUUUGGGCACUUUCCUUGGGAGCUUAGGUACCAUGCUAAAGGAAGCCAAAAACUAGCUCACACAGAGAGACUACAUGGGAAGUCCACAUGGAAAGCAACUGAAGCACCAGCCAACAGCUAGCAUCAACCUCCAGAUGUGUGAAUGAAUGAGCCUUCAGAGGAAUCCAACUCCUAGCUGUCAUGCCUUCCAGUUGAAAACCCCAGAAAUUAUGGAGCAGGAAAAACACCAUCUUGGGUUCUGUGCAAAUUCCUAACCCACAGAAUCCACGAGCCUAACAAAUGGUUGUUUUAAGCCACCAAUUUUGGGAUAAUUUGUUAUGCAGCCAUAGUAACUGGUCCAGCAUCCAUUCCACUUAGAGAUUUGUGUGGUGAUCGCCUAGGAAGACAAGCUAGCCUUUUGUAUAGAAAAUAUGUAAUUUCAAGCUAUUGCUGUCUUAUUGUAUGUCAUUUACUGGGUAAAUCCUCAUUUCUCAAACUUGAUGUCUCAACACCCCUGCCCUUUUUUUUUUUUUUUUUUGAGACAGAGUCUUGACUCUGUCGCCCAGGCUGGAGUGCAGUGACAUGAUCUCGGCUCACUGCUGUCUCUGCAUCCCAGGUACAAGGGGUUCUCCUGCCUCAGCCUCCUGAGUAGCUGAGCCUACAGGCACACACCACCAUGUCCAGCUAAUUUUUGUAUUUUUGUAGAGAUGGAGUUUCACCAUGUUGGCCAUGCUGGUCUCAAAUUCUUGACCUCAAGUGAUCCGCCUGCCCUGGCCUCCCAAAGUGCUGGGAUUACAGGUGUGAGCCACCGUGCCUGGCCUCAACCCCUUUUAAAUAAAAAAAUUUUCACAGCCACUUUGAUAUUGACUUAAACUACAUAUGUAUUGUUACUUAAGUAUGUACAAACCUAAGACCAGUAAUAAACUCCUUAUUCUUGGAGCUUUACACAACUAAAAGUAGAUCUAUAAAUUAAAUACAAACAAGACUAUAGAAAUGGUAAAAUUCCAGUUUACAACCAAAAGCAAUGGAUGAUGAUGUUGCUUUGCUGAAACUAUAUUGCAUCAGUGUGAAUUUUAUAGUGACCAUUAAUGAAGCAUGUUUUUUUGCAUCGUAGCCAUGGGAUAACUUUUUCUACAACUCUUUUUAUCAGUUGCCUUUCAUAAGGAACAAAUGUGUCAUUUACAUAUUUAAUUCCAUUCUUUAAGUUUUUAUGUAUUAUUUGACAUCAGUGCCAUCAUAAAUGGUCAACCAGGUAAUUCAAGAUACUGCAUAUAUAUAUUAAGAAUCAAAAUAAGAUGCUUGUGGAAAAUUGGCAGAUCCUGAACCCUAGUUUGAAAAUCACUAAACAGGUCUAUAUUUAAUGAGCCAUUCAUUUAUAAUUCAGGAAGGCCUCCAGUGUGAAGGAAGGUGAAAAUUUUGGAAUUAGAUUGGUUUAGAGCUAGUUGGAAUAGGCCCAGUACAGGAUAAAGCAAGCUUGAAAUAAGGCAGUGGUGGUGGGGAAUGCAAGAAGAAUCCGUGCAUGUGAGUUAAGUAAAUGUACUCAAGAUGACUUGAUCAGUGGUUGGAUAUGGAGUGUAGGGUAGAGGGAGGAUUCUAGGAUGACUACAAGUUUUUUUUUUUUGUUUGUUUGUUUUUUUUGAGAUAGAGUUUCGUUCUUGUUGCCCAGGCUGGAGUAUAAUGGCACGAUCUCGGCUCACUGCAACCUCCGCCUCCUGAGUUCAAGCGAUUGUCCUGCCUCAGCCUCUCAAGUAGCUGGGAUUACAGGCAUGCGCCACCAUGCCUGGCUAAUUUUUGUAUUUUUAGUAGAGACUAGUUUCUCCAUGUUGGUCAUGCUGGUCUCGAAUUCUCAGCCUCAGGUGAUCUGCCUGCCUCAGCCUCCCAAAGUGGUGGGAUUACAGGCGUGAGCCACUGCGCCCAGCAAUGACUACAAGUUUCUAAUCCAGAGACUAGGCAGUUAGCAGUGCCUUUUGCCCAUGAAGUCUUAGUAGGAAAAUAGUGAGUUGUUUUGGACAUGUCAAGAUCAUGAUUCUCAUGAGAUCCAACUGGGGGUUUCUAGUAAUGUGGUUCAGAACUGAUUGGCUCAGCCAUUGAUCUGAUCCAGCUGUGACAACCUGAAAGCCAUACUUAGCAACCCGUCACAUUAAUAGUAAGUAAAGCAGUUUUUGCAAAAGAAUCAACAAGCAAUAUAGAUUUUUUCUAAAAAAUUUCGAGUUCAGUACAAAGAACAUUUUCCCUCUUAACUGUUUCAGAAUAAGUUGCUAUGUCUAGGCUAAAUGCAGAAGAAAAGAAGUGAGACAACUUUCUUUUACUCGUAAGUGUGAGAGCAUUGGAAGGACAGGAGUUUUGGGUCAUAGAGUUGGAUAAUAAGACAACAUUUCAAAGGUGCAGAGUUCCAGGUGAGAUAAAAACAACAGAUUACAAUAGUAUGUUCCUAAAUUGGAUUGAAGUUGGUCAUUUGAAUCCAUUCAAUAAAUUUAACAUUCUACCAGGCACUGGAGAGAAAAAGGUAAUUGAGACAGAGUUCCUACACUAAAGGAACUUACAGAGUAGAAGGGAAAAUCAAGCAGAUACAUUGUUCAGACGGAGUACAAAGAAAGUAAAACAGCUUUGUCAAGGUGGAGGGUGGAGGGCAGGUCAAGGAGAGCACCUCAAAGAGGUGGGUAAACCGGAUUCUGAAUUAUGAAUAGGAACUAACCAUUCCAAGAUGAGGGGCCAUAAAGAGUGGGCAGUAAGGUCAGAGGGAGCAAGUAUUUAUACAGGCUCCAAGGCGAUAGAGGUCAUAACCCACCAGGGGACUGCAAGUCUUUCAGUAUAACAAGAUAGUAAGUAAAUAUAAGGCUGUAAAGCAAGAUCCAAUCAUGAAGGGCCUUGUUGAGUUUGAACUUCAUCUUACAUAGCCAUCCGUGGAAAGUCAGUGUAUUUUAAACAGGUGAGUGAGUAAAAUGGUUAAUAUGCAUUUUAGAACUUGUUCUGCCUCUACAUAUUAAAGGGAGCAAAACAAUAAACAGAAACUGGUUAGUAAGCUAUUGACAUAAUCUAGGUAGAAGGUGGUGACAAAGUUAGGUAAUGAUAGUGGAUGUGGAGAGAAGUAGAUUAACUCAAGAGUUCAAUAUAUAGUAACUGUAGGGCUUGAUGGUUAAUAUGAAUGUUAGGGGUAAAGAGGGAAUUGAAUGAUUCCGUUUCUGACAUGGGAACUAUAUAAUUUACUGAUUCAUAAAUGAUUUUUGACCAGGCAUUGUGGUACACACUGGGCUUAAGAGAAGUGAACAAGGAUAGAGUUUCUGAUAGCCUCUGCUAUUAUUGUGUAGGGUCACUAGGGGAAGUCAGACAAUGAGCACAUAAACUAGUUUCAGAUAGCACAUGGAUGGACCAAGAGUGGUGAGAGUUGGAAUAUCUGUGAAGCUUUUAGGGUAAAGUCAUAGCUGUGGGAGGGCAGGGACCCUCUUGUUACUGUACUCAACUUGCAUUGGUUUAGGGCAUUAGCAGUAGGGGAAAGUACAGAAUGACAAAAAAAUUGCACAGAAACCUUAGUUCUUUUUCACUUUCUCAGAUCACUUAAACACUUCAGCUGCUGUACCUUAAACCUGGCAAGUUUUUGCCUCCCUUAAACAGGUGUCCCAAGAUCUGCUAAAGUUUUAUUUUAAAAAUAAGAGAAUCAGUGUUUUACAAUUCUUCCAAGAAGUUCAUGUGAUCAAGAAAAUGUACAUUUCUUCUCAUCCAGGUCAAGGACCAUAGCUUUUCUAUAUAGUGCUCUACUGCUGCACUUAUUAUAGGUAAUAUAGUGGUUCCAGAUAAUUUGGCACCUUUUAGAAAUAAAUUCUUUCAUUCAAAAAAUAUGAGUGAGGGCCAGGUGCGGUGGCUCACACCUGUAAUCCCAGGACUUUGGGAGGCCGAGACGGGCGAAUCACCUGAUGUCAGGAGUUCAAGACCAGCCUGACCAACAUGGUGAAACCCCGUCUUUACAAAAAUACAAAAAUUGGCUGGGCAUGAUGGUGAGUGCCUGUAAUCCCAGCUACUCAGGAGACUCAAGCGCGAGAAUUGCUUGAGGCUGGGAGGCAGAGGAUGCAGUGAGCCGAGAUCGCACCUCUGCGCCCCAGCCUGGGCAAAAGAGCGAGACUCCAUCUCAAAAAAAAAAGUGCUUGCUUUGAUCAAGGCCCUGUAUUUCGGGUUACAGAAUUUCUUUUAAAACAUCUUAAUCAACAUUGGACAUAUCUUUUUAAAUGCAUGCUUCUCCACUUUCUUCCAGAGUAUAUAGAACAGUUUUUAGUGGAUAACUAUCCUGACCUAAAGUAAAUGUUAGCCUUGAGUGCUGUUUUUGAAUUGGAUAAAGCUGCUGCAUGUCAUCCUUAUGUAGCAGGCACAAUAUUUGCAGUAUUCAGACUUCUAGACCUGGUGCUAACCAAAUAUUUCUACAUUAAGUGGCUUCAUUCUGUUGUGCUUUUUGAAUGUUUUCUAGCUUCCUUCAUCUUUCUAGCUUCCUUGAUCUUAAUUUUGCUAUUUCUGGUCUGUGUUAAAGCAGGAACCUGAUGAUCAAAAACUCUAGGAAUCAAACCCUCUCCUUUUAAUCACUGUACUUGGACUUCAGUGCCUAUAUUUUGAGGCCAAUGUGACUUUUUUUUUUUUUUUCCAGAUGGAGUCUGGCUGUUAUCUCCAGGCUGGAGUGCAGUGGUGCAAUCUCGGCUCACUGCAACCUCUGAACCCCUGGUUCAAGUGAUACUCCUGCCUCAGCCUCCCAAGCAGCUGGGAUUACAGGCAUGUGCCACCACACCCAGCUAAUUUUUGUAUUUUUAGUAGAGACGGGGUUUCACCAUGUUGGCCAGGAUGCGCUCUAUCUCCUGACCUCAAGUGAUCCGCCCGCCUUGGCCUCCCAAAGUGCUAGGAUUACAGGCGUGAGACACGGCGCCCAGUUGACUGUUUUGUUUUCACUCACUCCUCCAUAUGGGUAGUUGAGGAUCACUAUGACUGUUUUUAUGUAGGCAGAAUUUUUAAGAAAACAACAUAAAUUUAGAUAUUUGUUCCGUAAAGUUACUAAAAAGUAAAUAUAUUAAAGGUGAUUGUCACAUAAGCCUUCCAAUCACAGUGCCUGUGAUUUCAUUAGACAAAACUGAACAUAUAAAAAUGUAGUUGGCUACCUGGGAGCCUGAAGCACUUUAUUUACAGAUACUUUCUUAGGGCUAACUCAAAACACAUCUAAUCAGAACCAUGCCAUAAGCUUGCCAGAGAAUGACAAUGCAUUUAAACAUCGUAAAUAGCCAAAUUUCACCUUCCCCAUUGAAGACAGCAUUUCAGAUACAAGUACAUGGCCUGGUAAUGUUUUUCCAGAAGAGAUCCUACUUGUAUCAAAGUCAGCCUGUAGCAGUGCAAACUACUGACUUAAAGUUUAGCAGCUAAAAAUAGAGUCUGAAAAGAUUCAGAAAAUUGAGUUAUUUUACCCAUGAAACAAACAUCUGCUCUUUUAGAGCAAGCAGCUCUUUAUACCUUAUGAGAAAGCUCAAGAACAAAAAAGUUAGCUUUUCAUUUUAAGGUACCAUGGUUGAUUUUAGACAGUUCUCAUAUCUUCAAAUUAUUAUCCUGGGGAAAAUUAUGCAGGACAAAAGUGUUUUUUAGAAAUAUUUAGCAAAAAUAUAUGAAUUACUGCCUUUUCAUAAUGCAGCCAGGACUUGCAUCGGAAUAUUUGAUUAUCCUAUGACCAACUCACUUAUACCUUCCACAGAAUACUAUAGCACAACGUGUAGUAUAUACAAGCUCCAGAAUGCUUGGAGAUGUACCUCACUUUAGCACUAAGUAGCUGUGUAACUUUGAGCAAGUUGUUUAACCUGUGUCUCCAUUCCUCUCGAGGAUCAUAAUAGUCUUUCUCAUGGGGUAAAAUAAUACAUGUGGAACACUCAACAAGAUGCAUGGCACACAGUAAGUACUGUAAUAAAAGUAAUUUAGAGAAACAGAAGAUACUUUGCUUAACCCAAGAUACCUUGAGGUAAAUUUAAAAGUCACAUUUUAAAUACAUUCCUAUUGUUUUUCAUACAACUAUCACUUCUGUGGUAAUCAAAUGGUGUUUAAAUAAUCUAUGUUUAUGCCUACUUACAUAGGUUAACAUAAACAGUAAAAAUAUUUUCAUUCACUACCCAAGCACAGUCUAUUGAAGGCACUUCCAACCAGCCCCUUAUCAGUAGGAAGAAUCCAACCUAGGACUAGUUUAUCAAUAGAUGUACUUUUCCAUAGAUUGUAAGCAGUUCUAAGUAGGAAAGGUUUGGCUCUCAGGAGCUUUCAGCGGGACAUUUAUAUUUGUAAAUAAAAAGGAAAUAUUCUUUGGGCAGUGUUUCAGAAUCACCUGGGAUGAUCUGCAUGAAGAUUCCUGGCCUCCACCAAAGACUUACUGAAUCAGAAAGGAGGCAAGAGGAUGAGGAAUGCUUAAGAAUCUGCAUUAACAAACUUUACAAAUGAAUCUUACAACAUACAGAAGCAUGGAAACUACUGCCUCAAGGGAUUAUCUCAACUUGAGUUUAAACAUAGGAAUUGCUGACUACCUUUAAAAUGUAAAAAUAGUAUCUUUAUGGGAGGGAUGUUGUUUGGGGGCAGCUACUAAAUAGUGAAAUCAUUCCUUUAAAAUACCCUCUCAAGUCUGCCCCAGUUAUCCAUUUUACUGGAUAGUCUUGGUAUCCAGAUGAUUUAGGGAAAAAAAUAGUAGUAGCAAACUCUGAAAACACUCAGUAAAGUUCAUUCUUGGUCUUCUCUUCCUAAAUUUGUUUUCAAUUGUUAGAUUUAAACACUAAACAAGACCAAAAGAGAACUUUAUUUUACAUGUCUUUAUUUUACAUUUAGAACCGUUUUAUGAUUUACUUAAAAAAAAAAUCUUUUACUAUUAUUAGAAGUAUUUUUUAACCAAAAUCUUGAUUUAGGAAGACUUAAGACAUUGUGCAUUAUUUUAAAUAUUUUCAUUUCAGUAACUAUUAAAAAUAAAUUCACAAUUAGGGUUUCAAAUGUCCUAAUCAUAUCUAGUUUGUUCUCAUUUAAUAUUUUAUCAAUCCCAUCAUGUGCAUACAGAGGUUAAGGUGAUGUAUAAAUUUUAUAUCUUUCAAACACAUUGAUGCUAAUCAGCUCUUGAUCUAAUUACUAUUUCAUUUAUUCAGAAAUAGCAUUUAGACAUAAAAACCAAUGUCUCACUUUGUAAAAUAACCUUUGGCUAAUUUACACACAUCUAAUACAGCGUGUUAUAUAAGUUUUAAGUAAUACAAUGAGUCACUACUAUCAUUCAGUUUUAAAUAUUUUUAGUGUUAACAGGGCUGAGAAUAUCAUGUGGUUCAGUCUUCUGAAGGAAGUUAUAUAAUAAAAGCAUAGUGCCUUUGAACAUGAAGACUAUCCUCAAGGCCAGAAAUCCUACAAAGGAACUGAAAGGAGAGAUUCCAGAGAAUUGCUCUCCUCAUUUUUAAUAUGUAAAGUGACUGUUUUAAGUCACUUCAUUGAAGACUUAAGGAAGAAAACAGUGUUAUUAUGCCACUGAAUAAAGCUACUUAAACCAGAGUAAUUUUGGGAUAUUAAUCCUAGGCUACAUAAUUAAUAGGUCAUCAAAACAAAAACCUGUCAGUUAUUAGGUGUAAGUUAACUUCCUAUGCCAAGUAAGGGGUCACACUUCACUUCCCCCAUUUGUAAAAUGAAAAGGUGGCCAGGCCAGUGCCAUUUAGGAUUCUCUGCUAACUGUAAAAUGUGGACUGAUUUUCUUCUGUUUCUUAUAGUCCAGGUGUAUAUAAACUUCCAGUUCUUUAAGUCAAAAUUUUUAUGCACAUAACCAUGUCAGUGUAUUGCCCUUAGUUUAAAAAUGUACAACUACAUAAAUAAAAACUAUUGUUUCUUCAAUAUUACUUGACAUUUCUUCUGUAAUUUCUUUAUUUAAAAAAGU
rnacentral:lncRNA from 1 species